GUACUUACCUGCAGAGGAGAUACCAUGAUCACGAAGAUAGUUUUCCCAGGGUGAGGCUCAUUCAUUGCACUCUGGAUGGUCCAACCCCUGUGGUUUCCCUAUGUGGGAAAUGGGACUGCAUAAUUUGUAGUAGUGGGGGACUGUGUUGCACUCUCCCCUG